GAAUUGCAGAAUUCCGCGAAUCAUCGAGUCUUUGAACGCAAGUUGCGCCCGAGGCUUGACCGAGGGCAUUUCUGCCAGAGCGUCACC
rnacentral:rRNA from 1 species